UGUUGACCCAAAUCCCGUGGAGGCAGCGCACGAACCAAAUCUUCUCCGAGGGCAGAUCCCUACUUCAAGUUGGGUGAGCACUCCUGGUAGAGCUUCCGUUGCAGAUUCCCUUCUGAAGCUUCCGACAUCGGUUGGUUCGUCGCCUCCUCUCUCCAGUAACAGCUAGCGCCCUCCUCCCCCACGUCGGCGGCUAGCCAGUGGUGGUUUCCUCGGCUCCUUCCCCUCCAGCCCGUGCGACGAGGUGGUUCAUUUUCCUGGUGGUAGGCUCCUCGGCUCCUUCCGAACCAACCUGUGUGCCGUGGUGCAAAUCUACAAGGCGUCAACACGAUGGACAAGAAGCUCGAUGAACAAGAAGCACUUCAUCUAGAGGCAACUAUUGUGUGCCAUCAAGAUAGCAACGUCGAUCUAGUUCUUAAUGGCAAUGCUUGCUCAGUGAUGAUUAUCAUAGUCCUUGAGACUUAGCAUAGCCCGCCAUGUACGAAAGUUGAAGCAAUUUUCGCUAGCAAUUCUUGUUGAUCUUGUCAGGUUAUUGAUAGCUCAAUUUGAAUGUCUUCUUGUGUUAUGCCCGGUAUGUUCCAGUUUGACAUGUACUAAAAAAAUGUGCGUGGAUAGACCAGUUUGACAUGCAGUCAAGCAUUAUGUGCCUAUAAUGGUCCAUUUUAACGUA